CGCCGGAGCUCGAUAUCACCAGCCCGAGAGUCUGAAGAGAGAGAGAGAGAGAGAGAGAAAACGUCUGUGGAAGGGAGUCCAAACCAAACCCUUGCAGUGGCACGUCUCGGGAUCAAUCCGGUGAAACCCCGUCGCUAGAGAUCCAAGUGCAAAGCUUCUGAAGAAGCCGCCUUCAUCGGAGGAGGUCUCCGUCACCCCUUCGGUCCGUGGAUUCGAACAAAAGCGAGCCGCUCCCCUUUGUCGGUUUCCAAUCUGUCUUCCGCCGUGAAUAGCUUUUAUCUCUUGGGAAGCUGCUUCCGUGCUUUAUUUCGGUUACUUUGCAAGUGGUACACCACACCCGGUGCCCCAAGCGAACGCCGGUCUUGCUUCGGCCUUCGGUUGCGGAAGAAAGUGGACGAGUAUUAGUUUAUGCAGACGAAGGCGCAAGAAAAAGGUUCGGAUCUCGAGCACUUUUCCGGUGGGGCUGUGGUCCAAAGGUUUCUAUUUCUGGCAAAAAAAGUUGCAAUUUUGACCCUCGAGUUCUAAUUUUUCAGCAAGGUGCUCGGUUUCUUGCUUGCUUGAUCCCCCUUUUUGUUUCUAGUUGUGGUAAAAAGGAUCGAGUUAUCGGGCGAUUUCUGUGACCUGGAUACUGGUUCUUUCUGAUUUUUGGAAUACCGGAGUGUGAUUCUUUAAACGGAGGGUGUAAUUUGGGGAUGUUGCAACCCAGAAGUUCUUUCUUGGAAUCUGCUUCCGCCAUUCCUUUUUCUUCCUAUGGGUUUGAAAACAAGGACUCGGUCUUUCGAUGGCCCAAACAGAGUUGGUGAUGCCUACCUGUAUCUGGAUUACUAAUAAUUUGAACUGAUGCAUCAAAGAUUUCAUCUCUUUGAUUGGCUCAUAUAGGCAGUUUAAUCCCUACCCUCGAGAAAGAUGGUGCCUUCAGGACCCCCUACUCCGGUUGGGGGAGGCCAGUCGGUCCCGGCCUCGCUUCUCCGAACAAACUCUGCCAUGUCGAGAGGAGCCCAGCCUGGUUCUCUCCCUUCUCAGCAGCCAGCUUCGCCCUUGGUUUCUCCUCGCACCCAAUUCGACAAUAUUGGUAAUGGUAAUGGCAACAACAUGAACUUGUUGGGUAACUACACCAACAUAUCAUCGCUCCUCAACCAAUCAACUGGAAAUGGAGUGCCUGUGUCCGGCGGAGGGCUUUCGGCAGCUUCUCUUGGUCUUCAACAACGUGGUGGUGUCGGAAGUGCAGUUGAGAUGCUAAGCUCUGCUGAACUUGAUCCUCUCUCGUUCACUUCAGCAUCUAGCCUAGCCCAAAGACAGUCUUUGCAGAAUCCAUCUAGGAAUCAGCUUGCAGUGGAUCGUUCGCAGAACGAGCAUCGUGAGGGAAUGCACAAGUUUCGGCGACAGUUCUCCUUGCCUCACAUCCAGCAGCAAAUGCUGAGGGGUGGGUUGGGCAAUAUGGGGCCUAUAGCUCCUGUUAAGUUGGAACCGCAGAUGGAUCCGUCUGAUAAAACUGGUCCAUCGCAGAACUUGCAGACCUUGUGUAGCUCCAGUGCCACAAAAUUGGAGCCGCAGCAGCUGCACUCUGUUAGAAGUCUGGGCCCAGCAAAACUGGAACGUCAGCAUUCCGAUACAGCUCUUGUUCUGCAACAGCAGCAGCACCAGUUGCUGCAGAUGUCAAGGCCCCCAUCUCAGGCUGCUGCUGCUGCACAGAUGAGUCUCCUGCAACAACAGAGGAUGUUGCAGCUUCAGCAACAACAACAGCAACAGAUACUUCAAACCCGACCACAACAAAGAAACCAGUUGCAACAGCAGCUUCAACAGGCUUCGAUAAGACCUCAAAUAAAACCCACAUUGUAUGAGCCAGGAACGUGUGCUCGACGUUUGACUCAAUAUAUGUACCACCAGCAGCAUAGACCAGAAGAUAAUAAUAUCAAAUUUUGGAGAAAAUUUGUUGCGGAAUACUUUGCCCCCAAUGCCAGGAAGAGAUGGUGUGUUUCUCUCUAUGGAAGUGGGCGUCAAACUACUGGUGUUUUUCCUCAGGAUGCAUGGCACUGUGAAGUAUGCAACCGUAAACCUGGUCGUGGUUUUGAAACAACUUUUGAAGUUUUGCCACGACUAUAUCAAAUUAAAUAUGCCAGUGGUACUUUGGAGGAACUUCUAUAUGUUGAUAUGCCUCGUGAAUAUCAAAAUGCAUUGGGUCAGAUUGUCCUCGAUUAUGGUAAAGCAAUUCAGGAGAGUGUCUAUGACCAGUUACGCGUGGUGCGUGAAGGUCAACUGCGGAUUGUUUUCUCUGCUGAAUUGAAGAUAUGUUCGUGGGAGUUCUGUGCCAGGCAGCAUGAGGAGCUUGUUCCUCGAAGGUUGUUAAUACCACAGGUGAGUCAACUUGGGGCCGCCGCGCAGAAAUAUCAGAAUACAGCUCAAAAUUCACCUCCCAGCAUAUCUGCUCAGGACUUGCAAAAUACUUGUAAUUCAUUUGUGGUGUCUGCUCGUCAAUUGGCUAAAACUCUGGAGGUGCCAUUAGUAAAUGAUCUAGGAUAUACGAAAAGAUAUAUCCGUUGCCUUCAGAUAUCGGAGGUGGUUAAUAGUAUGAAAGACCUGAUUGAUUACAGCAGAGAAACCAGGACUGGACCUGUGGAUAGUUUAAACAGCUUCCCACGAAAAGCUUCUUUUGGACUGCACCCUCAACAAACCCAACAAGCCAAGGAUCACCAGAUGGUUGCCCAAAACUCAACCGACAAUGAUCAGAGCUCUUCUCAUGUAAAUAGUGUUCAGAUUGCUGGUUGUAAUGGUGCAAUGAAUGUUGAGAAUUCCCUUGGAAAUCUAACUACGACCUGCACCACAACUUCCAUAUCGGAGCUUCUUCACCAGAACUCUCUAAAUUCAAGGCAAGGAAACCUGGUGAGCACCACAAAUGACCAAAGUGGUGGUGGGAGUGUGGUUCCAAUACCAUCAGCCAGCUCCAAUUCACUGCUCCCUUCCCAACCAAAUGCAUCUUCUCCUUUUCCCUCUCAGAUGCCAUCCGCAUUAAGUGGUAACAAUGCCCCAACCUCUCUUAACUUUGUUCAUUUGAACUCUGUUCCUCCACCUGCAAAUAUGUCAAUGUUGCAACAACCUCCGGUACAGUCUCAUGAAGCCAACCCAACUGGAUCACAGAGUUCUGUGCAGAAAAUCUUACAGGAAAUGAUGUCCUCUCAGCUGAAUGGUGUAGGCAACUUGGUAGAUGAGUUGAAGGGACUUAAUGGUGUUACACCUGCUUUGAACGGAGUUGAUUGUCUGGUCAGAAACGGGAUGGCAAACAACUCGGGUUAUGGAGAAAUGGGUUUCAGUGCCAUGGGUAUGACUGAUCAAUCAACAACUGCUAAUGGAUUAAGAGCGGUUAUGGCAAAUGAUACUAUGACCAUGACUGGUAGGGUUGGGAUGAACCACCUGUCACAGUAUCCACACACCAUGAAUCAUCAGCAGUUGCAGGACAUGGAAAGCAGGCUUUUGAGUGGGUCUGGACAUGUUAAUGGUUUUGACAAUCUUCAGUUUGAUUGGAAAUCCUCACCUUAAAGAGUGAAACAGACAUAUUUUGCAACAAUAGUACAUGGGCAAUGGCUGAAGGACUUUUACCACCACCUCAUUUACAUGUGUUCCAGUCCAUUGCAGCCCAUUGACAACUUUUUCAUCAAGGGACAUCAUGGUAAGCAUCAUAUUUACAAAAGGAGAGCAAGCAAGCAGAUUAGAGUAGCUUCCUUGUGCUAGCUUGCAUGCUAUGCAUACAGCAGAAAGGUAUUUUCAAAGUAUCAGCUUAAAUCAGUGGAGGUUUACGCGAAAGAGAAAAAAAUUGUAAGCCGACACCACACCCUCUCUUUUUGGGGAUUUAUAUUAUCUUUUUGGUUGUUUCAGUCAAAUAUCGCAAGACUACAAAAUUUGAUCGCAAAGCCGAUACUUCUGUGAGUGAGAUAAAAUGUUUAUGUUCUUUCUGCCACACAAUUUUCUUUGUUUUGCAUGUUUUUAAAAGUUACAGUCGAAUAAAUCAUAAAUAAUAGGAACACUGGAUGACAAUCUGGACAUUAAAGCUGAAUGAAUCUGUAAUGACAGUACUUUGUGAUCUAAUUCCUAAGUAGCGUACUGCACAUGUUGUAUGGUCUAUUCAAUAAUUGCAUGCCCAUCUGAAGCUUAUUCUUUACAGCAGUCUUCUAACAUUGCACAUGAAGCCUCUGAUUAUUCUGUAUUAACUGUGUUUGUUUGCCCUUGUAACUGCAAUUGUUAGUUAUGUAAUAUAUGAACUUUAGAUUUUGUUCUUUUCACCUCUUGAGAGUCUCUCAGAGGUAAGCUUAUAAUAUAUAUCUCUCUAUAGUCUUGUUUAUCUUUCUUGCAUAUAUACUCUCCAUUGCUUGUUUAGACAAGGUAUUCGGGGCUGUAGUUAUUGACACAUCCCUCUUCUUGCAAGUAAGCUCUGAUGGUUUAUUUUGGCACCAAUCCACAUCAGUCUCUGUGGUGGCGGAAACAGAUUUUGACAGUUAAUUCUCUUGAGGUUGCAGUUUGCUCAGUUCCUCCUUGCAGUUGGAUCCUCUUCUUUAGAACCACAAUCUCAUCUUGGAAUGGAUUGUUGGUUGAUCAGAAUAUAAUAUUAGAAUGUCAUGUGGAUCAGUUGGUAUAACAGUUCUGAUACUUGGGAUACAUGGAUUGGAAUUCACAAAGAAGAGGAGCAAAUUUUGCAGGAAUAAGCAUGGCAGAUAACAAUUGUUCAUGAACCGACUAUAAUGCAGUGAUGUCAGGUAUGCAAGGAAAUUUGUUUUUUUGGUAUAUUAGAAGAUAUAUAUAUGUACUGUUUGAAUUACUUUUAAGGUUACAUGUCCAUAAAUGCCUCUCUUCUUGUAAUCUUGAAAGUUCUUUUGUGCAUUUAAA